rnacentral:rRNA from 1 species
UACAGAGGUCCCAAGCGUUGUUCGGAUUCACUGGGCGUAAAGGGUGCGUAGGUGGCCGUGGAAGUUCGGUGUGAAAGCCCGGGGCUCAACCUCGGAACGGCAUUCGAUACGGGACGGCUGGAGACCGGGAGAGGAGAGUGGAAUAGCCAGUGUAGAGGUGAAAUUCGUAGAUAUUGGCUGGAACACCGGUGGCGAAAGCGGCUCUCUGGCCCGGUUCUGACGCUGAGGCGCGAAAGCGUGGGGAGCAAACAGG